AAGUGGUAGGAGAGCGUUCUAUUUGCGUCGAAGGUAUACCGGUAAGGAGUGCUGGAGCGAAUAGAAGUGAGCAUGCAGGCAUGAGUAGCGAUAAUUAAUGUGAGAAUCAUUAACGCCGUAAACCCAAGGUUUCCUACGCGAUGCUCGUCAUCGUAGGGUUAGUCGGGUCCUAAGUCGAGUCCGAAAGGGGUAGACGAUGGCAAAUUGGUUAAUAUUCCAAUACCAACAUUAGUGUGCGAUGGAAGGACGCUUAGGGCUAAGGGGGCUAGCGGAUGGAAGUGCUAGUCUAAGGUUGUAGGAGGUUAUACAGGCAAAUCCGUAUAACAAUACUCCGAGAACUGAAAGGCUUUUUGAAGUCUUCGGAUGGAUAGAAGAACCCCUGAUGCCGUCGAGCCAAGAAAAGUUUCUAAGUUUAGCUAAUGUUGCCCGUACCGUAAACCGACACAGGUGGGUGGGAUGAGUAUUCUAAGGCGCGUGGAAGAACUCUCUUUAAGGAACUCUGCAAAAUAGCACCGUAUCUUCGGUAUAAGGUGUGGUUAGCUUCGUACUAGGAUUUACUCCGAAAGCGAAGAAACUUACAACAAAGAGUCCCUCCCGACUGUUUACCAAAAACACAGCACUCUGCUAACUCGUAAGAGGAUGUAUAGGGUGUGACGCCUGCCCGGUGCUCGAAGGUUAAUUGAUGGGGUUAGCAUUAGCGAAGCUCUUGAUCGAAGCCCGAGUAAACGGCGGCCGUAACUAUAACGGUCCUAAGGUAGCGAAAUUCCUUGUCGGUUAAAUACCGACCUGCAUGAAUGGCGUAACGAGAUGGGAGCUGUCUCAAAGAGGGAUCCAGUGAAAUUGUAGUGGAGGUGAAAAUUCCUCCUACCCGCGGCAAGACGGAAAGACCCCGUGGACCUUUACUACAGCUUGACACUGCUACUUGGAUAAGAAUGUGCAGGAUAGGUGGGAGGCUUUGAGUAUAUGACGCCAGUUGUAUAUGAGCCAUUGUUGAGAUACCACUCUUUCUUAUUUGGGUAGCUAACCAGCUUGAGUUAUCCUCAAGUGGGACAAUGUCUGGUGGGUAGUUUGACUGGGGCGGUCGCCUCCCAAAUAAUAACGGAGGCUUACAAAGGUUGGCUCAGAACGGUUGGAAAUCGUUCGUAGAGUAUAAAGGUAUAAGCCAGCUUAACUGCAAGACAUACAAGUCAAGCAGAGACGAAAGUCGGUCUUAGUGAUCCGGUGGUUCUGUGUGGAAGGGCCAUCGCUCAAAGGAUAAAAGGUACCCCGGGGAUAACAGGCUGAUCUCCCCCAAGAGCUCACAUCGACGGGGAGGUUUGGCACCUCGAUGUCGGCUCAUCGCAUCCUGGGGCUGGAGCAGGUCCCAAGGGUAUGGCUGUUCGCCAUUUAAAGCGGUACGCGAGCUGGGUUCAGAACGUCGUGAGACAGUUCGGUCCCUAUCUGCCGUGGGCGUAAGAAGAUUGAAGAGAUUUGACCCUAGUACGAGAGGACCGGGUUGAACAAACCACUGGUGUAGCUGUUGUUCUGCCAAGAGCAUCGCAGCGUAGCUAAGUUUGGAAAGGAUAAACGCUGAAAGCAUCUAAGCGUGAAGCCAACUCUAAGAUGAAUCUUCUCUAAGCUCUCUAGAAGACUACUAGUUUGAUAGGCUGGGUGUGUAAUGGAUGAAAGUCCUUUAGCUGACCAGUACUAAU
rnacentral:rRNA from 1 species